rnacentral:rRNA from 1 species
GACGAACGCUGGCGGCGUGCCUAACACAUGCAAGUCGAGCGAUGAAGUUUCCUUCGGGAACGGAUUAGCGGCGGACGGGUGAGUAACACGUGGGUAACCUGCCUCAUAGAGGGGAAUAGCCUCCCGAAAGGGAGAUUAAUACCGCAUAAUAUUACAGUUUUGCAUGAAACAGUCAUUAAAGGAGCAAUCCGCUAUGAGAUGGACCCGCGGCGAAUUAGCUAGUUGGUGAGGUAACGGCUCACCAAGGCGACGAUGGGUAGCCGACCUGAGAGGGGUAUAGGCCACAUUGGGACUGGGACACGGCCCAGACUACGACGGGAGGCAGCAGUGGGGAAUAUUGCACAAUGGGGGAAACCUUGAUGCAGCAACGCCGCGUGAGUGAUGACGGUCUUCGGAUUGUAAAGCUCUGUCUUUGGGGACGAUAAUGACGGUACCCAAGGAGGAAGCCACGGCUAACUACGUGCCAGCAGCCGCAGUAAUAC